AGCGAACGCUGGCGGCAGGCCUAACACAUGCAAGUCGAACGGACCCUUCGGGGUUAGUGGCGGACGGGUGAGUAACACGUGGGAACGUGCCCUUUGGUUCGGAAUAGCUCCUGGAAACGGGUGGUAAUGCCGAAUGUGCCCUUUGGGGGAAAGAUUUAUCGCCAUUAGAGCGGCCCGCGUCUGAUUAGCUAGUUGGUGAGGUAAAGGCUCACCAAGGCGACGAUCAGUAGCUGGUCGGAGAGGAUGACCAGCCACAUUGGGACUGAGACACGGCCCAAACUCCUACGGGAGGCCGCAGUGGGGAAUCUUGCGCAAUGGGCGAAAGCCUGACGCAGCCAUGCCGCGUGAAUGAUGAAGGUCUUAGGAUUGUAAAAUUCUUUUACCAGGGACGAUAAUGACGGUACCUGGAGAAAAAGCCCCGGCUAACUUCGUGCCAGCAGCCGCCGUAAGAC
rnacentral:rRNA from 1 species